rnacentral:misc_RNA from 1 species
UCCGGUUUGUCCCCGGCAUGAUCCGCUGGCAACUAACAGUAGGGGUUGCGCUCGUUAUGGGACUUAACCCGACACCUCACGGCACGAGCUGACGACAGCCAUGCAGCACCUGUGUCUAGGUUCCCUUUCGGGCACACUCGCAUCUCUGCAAGCUUCCUAGCAUGUCAAGGGUAGGUAAGGUUUUUCGCGUUGCAUCGAAUUAAUCCACAUAAUCCACCGCUUGUGCGGGUCCCCGUCAAUUCCUUUGAGUUUUAACCUUGCGGCCGUACUCCCCAGGCGGUCAACUUCACGCGUUAGCUUCGUUACUAAGGGAGUUAAUCCCCCAACAACCAGUUGACAUCGUUUAGGGCGUGGACUAC